rnacentral:rRNA from 1 species
UGAGGAAUAUUGGUCAAUGGGCGUAGCCUGAACCAGCCAAGUCGCGUGAGGGACGACGGCCCUACGGGUUGUAAACCUCUUUUACAAGGGAAUAAAGAUGGGGUCGAGACCCCAGUUGCAUGUACCUUGUGAAUAAGCAUCGGCUAACUCCGUGCCAGCAGCCGCGGUAAUACGGAGGAUGCGAGCGUUAUCCGGGAUUCAUUGGGUUUAAAGGGUGCGUAGGUGGCCGAUUAAGUCAGCGGUGAAAGUCAGUGGCUCAACCAUUGAACUGCCGUUGAAACUGGUUGGCUUGAGUACGUACGGGGCAGGCGGAAUG